rnacentral:rRNA from 1 species
GGGUUGUGAGGUUAAGCGACCAAGCGUACACGGUGGAUGCCCUGGCAGUCAGAGGCGAUGAAGGACGUGCUAAUCUGCGAAAAGCGCCGGUAAGGUGAUAUGAACCGUUAUAACCGGCGAUGUCCGAAUGGGGAAACCCAGUGUGACUCGUCACACUAUCAUUAACUGAAUCCAUAGGUUAAUGAGGCGAACCGGGGGAACUGAAACAUCUAAGUACCCCGAGGAAAAGAAAUCAACCGAGAUUCCCCCAGUAGCGGCGAGCGAACGGGGAGGAGCCCAGAGCCUGAAUCAGUAUGUGUGUUAGUGGAAGCGUCUGGAAAGGCGCGCGAUACAGGGUGACAGCCCCGUACACAAAAGCGCAUGUGCUGUGAGCUCGAUGAGUAGGGCGGGACACGUGGUAUCCUGUCUGAAUAUGGGGGGACCAUCCUCCAAGGCUAAAUACUCCUGACUGACCGAUAGUGAACCAGUACCGUGAGGGAAAGGCGAAAAGAACCCCGGCGAGGGGAGUGAAACAGAACCUGAAACCGUGUACGUACAAGCAGUGGGAGCAUGAGUUUACUCAUGUGACUGCGUACCUUUUGUAUAAUGGGUCAGCGACUUAUAUUCUGUAGCAAGGUUAACCGUAUAGGGGAGCCGCAGGGAAACCGAGUCUUAAUUGGGCGUUAAGUUGCAGGGUAUAGACCCGAAACCCGGUGAUCUAGCCAUGGGCAGGUUGAAGGUUGGGUAACACUAACUGGAGGACCGAACCGACUAAUGUUGAAAAAUUAGCGGAUGACCUGUGGCUGGGGGUGAAAGGCCAAUCAAACCGGGAGAUAGCUGGUUCUCCCCGAAAGCUAUUUAGGUAGCGCCUCGUGAAUUCAUCUCCGGGGGUAGAGCACUGUUUCGGCCAGGGGGCCAUCCCGGCUUACCAACCCGAUGCAAACUGCGAAUACCGGAGAAUGUUAUCACGGGAGACACACGGCGGGUGCUAACGUCCGUCGUGAAGAGGGAAACAACCCAGACCGCCAGCUAAGGUCCCAAAGUCAUGGUUAAGUGGGAAACGAUGUGGGAAGGCCCAGACAGCCAGGAUGUUGGCUUAGAAGCAGCCAUCAUUUAAAGAAAGCGUAAUAGCUCACUGGUCGAGUCGGCCUGCGCGGAAGAUGUAACGGGGCUAAACCAUGCACCGAAGCUGCGGCAGCGACACUGUGUGUCGUUGGGUAGGGGAGCGUUCUGUAAGCCUGCGAAGGUGGCCUGUGAGGG